UGAACUUAUGCGUGAGAUGAUGCGUAAUACUGACAGGGCAAUGAGCAAUAUUGAAUCUUCCCCCGAGGGAUUUAACAUGCUGAGGCGCAUGUAUGAAAAUGUCCAAGAGCCUCUCCUAAAUGCAACAACUAUGGGUGGAGAUGCAAGAAGUGAUGUGGGUUCAAACCCGUUCGCAGCUCUUUUGGGGGCCCAGGGUACGGGGCAAGGCAGAAACCAGUCAACUAAUCCUCCAACUACUGGUUCUGAGGCUACUGCUAACACACCUGCUCCAAAUACUAAUCCACUUCCUAAUCCUUGGGCUUCGGCUGGCACUGGAGCUGGCCAAACUAAUACCACUGCUAGGUCAAACACUGCUGGGGAAACCAGGGCACCACCGCCUGCUGGCUUAGGUGGACUUGCACUCCCAGAUCUUGAGGGAAUGCUGGGUGGCAUGCCAGAUGCUGCUUCACUAAAUCAGAUGAUGCAAAACCCAGCCGUCUCACAGAUGAUGCAGUCUCUCCUCUCAAAUCCUCAAUACAUGAACCAGAUGCUUGGGACGAACCCACAGCUAAGAAAUAUGCUUGAUUCCAACUCCCAUCUUCGAGAAAUGAUGCAAAACCCUGAAUUUAUUCGGCAGAUGACUUCCCCCGAGA
rnacentral:misc_RNA from 1 species